rnacentral:lncRNA from 1 species
CUGUAAUGGUGAAAAACCAGAAGCCACCUGAGUUUCCGAUAACAAGAGAAGAGUUACAUAAAUGAGGAGGUGCAGCUGUGCCAUUCUAAGCAGGGCCUGCAGACACUGGUGAGGCGGGAAGUGCUGCUGCUGGGAGGUUUGCUGAAGGCAGGACACGAAACCCAGUGGCCGAGACAGCCUGGAGCUGGCAGGACGGUGGCAGUGGUGGGACUGUGAGCAUGUCCUCUUCUACUCAGAAGCCCAUCACUGUAGCCUUCAUGGUGUCUGUGUGCCUGCACUGCAGACUGGAAGUAGAUCCCUAAUGUGUGAUCCAUGUGUACAGGCUGCCUGUAGGCUGCAGCAGCCCGAGGGUCAGGCAGACUUGAAGCAAGGAAGCCAUUCCUCAGCCGGCCUCUGAGAUGGCCCGAUGGGCAGAGCUACCCUGGGGCAGCUGCCAUGGAC